GUACAAGGUUUCCGUAGGUGAACCUGCGGAAGGAUCAU
rnacentral:rRNA from 1 species